GACAGAGGGUGCAAACGUUGUUCGGAAUUACUGGGCGUAAAGCGCGUGUAGGCGGCCAUCUAAGUCGGGCGUGAAAUCCCACGGCUCAACCGUGGAAGUGCACUCGAAACCGCAUGGCUAGAGUCCGGAAGAGGAGAGUGGAAUUCCUGGUGUAGCGGUGAAAUGCGCAGAUAUCAGGAAGAACACCCGUGGCUAAGGCGGCUCUCUAGUACGGUACUGACGCUGAGACGCGAAAGCGUGGGGAGCGAACAGG
rnacentral:rRNA from 1 species